ACCGGAUAGGACGAAAGUUUAAAGGUGCUUCGGCACCACUGAUGGAUGAGCCUGCGGCGCAUUAGCUAGUUGGUAGGGUAAAGGCCUACCAAGGCGACGAUGCGUAGCCGACCUGAGAGGGUGAACGGCCACACUGGGACUGAGACACGGCCCAGACUCCUACGGGAGGCAGCAGUAGGGAAUCUUCGGCAAUGGGCGAAAGCCUGACCGAGCAACGCCGCGUGAAUGAUGAAGGCCUUCGGGUUGUAAAAUUCUGUUAUAAGGGAAGAAUGGCUCUAGUAGGAAAUGGCUAGAGUGUGACGGUACCUUAUGAGAAAGCCACGGCUAACUACGUGCCAGCAGCCGCGGUAAUACGUAGGUGGCGAGCGUUAUCCGGAAUUAUUGGGCGUAAAGAGCGCGCAGGUGGUUGAUUAAGUCUGAUGUGAAAGCCCACGGCUUAACCGUGGAGGGUCAUUGGAAACUGGUCAACUUGAGUGCAGAAGAGGGAAGUGGAAUUCCAUGUGUAGCGGUGAAAUGCGUAGAGAUAUGGAGGGACACCAGUGGCGAAGG
rnacentral:rRNA from 1 species